rnacentral:rRNA from 1 species
UGGGGAAUUUUGGACAAUGGGCGAAAGCCUGAUCCAGCAAUGCCGCGUGUGUGAAGAAGGCCUUCGGGUUGUAAAGCACUUUUGUCCGGAAAGAAAUGGCUCUGGUUAAUACCUGGGGUCGAUGACGGUACCGGGAGAAUAAGGACCGGCUAACUACGUGCCAGCAGCCGCGGUAAUACGUAGGGUCCAAGCGUUAAUCGGAAUUACUGGGCGUAAAGCGUGCGCAGGCGGUUGUGCAAGACCGAUGUGAAAUCCCCGAGCUUAACUUGGGAAUUGCAUUGGUGACUGCACGGCUAGAGUGUGUCAGAGGGGGGUAGAAUUCCACGUGUAGCAGUGAAAUGCGUAGAGAUGUGGAGGAAUACCGAUGGCGAAGGCAGCCCCCUGGGAUAACACUGACGCUCAUGCACGAAAGCGUGGGGAGCAAACAGG